AAACUGGUGGCCUGGUGAGCUGGACGUAGACUUUCAGGCAGAACUUUAGGAUUUGAAGAAGACAUCCUUUUCAGAUAGUCCUCAUUCCGGUCCUGCAAGGUAAUGAUUCCCCACUUUCUACCACUGGGAAGCCCACGACCAGAGACGUGAUGUGAGUUUUCCAAAGUCACACAGCACGGACGGCAGAAGUCAGGUCUGGCAGAGCCAGAGCCUGUUCCGUAACCAUGUCCGGAAGCAAAACCCCUGAGGCCUUUGUGGGAGUCAGGAAACUUCUGCCACUUAGCAGCUGGGAUCUUGGACAAGGAACCGAACCCCCGUGUGCCGUGGUUUCUUGGGCUGUGCUGUGACGUGGAGAAAAUAUCUCUUAGGGUUGUCAAAAGGACCAACAUGAGUUCGUGGAUGUCCAAGGCUCGUGGCAGUA